UCAAAAGUAAUAUCAUGUUAAUCUUUAAGCCCUUAGAUUUUAAAAGAAAAACAAAAAUGAUGAGCUUAGCAGUCCAAUAAGUAGCAAUCUACUCUAGUUAGAUGAAUCAACCAAGUAGCAAAGAAAUUAAUUCCAAAAGUUCGUAUGGUAAAAUAAUAUAUUGUUUCAAACUAAAUCCAAAUUUUAUAUUCAAAAUGAGAGAGGCAGUGGUUUACCAUGUGGCGGAUGUCAGCGGUUCGGAUCUGUUUAUUUCCAGCCCAUGAACUUAAGCUCAUACUAUGAUAGCACCCAAUUUUUCCAAUUCAGUAGCAAUUUCUUUUGCGUUGGUUCUUCCUCAAAAGUUUUUGGCGCAAUGAACUCCUAUCUUUCAUUGGAUGAAAGGGGAGGAGUUCUUUGAAAAAGAAUGAAGUAGCGCCCGAAUGUGCGAGCAAGAGAUAGAAAGAAGCCCUAGCCAGCCCUAGAGCUAUAGCAAGAACCUGAUAUCAAAUAUCAGAUCUCAAAUUUAUUCUGAACUUUACAGCCUAUAAGACUAAGGCUGCAUUUAUUACCUGCGAUAGGGCCACGAUACUGUAUUUAUAUCUUGAAGCAAGGCCAUAAUGCCACAUUUAUACCUUUCAGAAUGAGUCAGGGUAAUAUAGGUUUUGAAACAGUCAUAGAUGCCAAUGUAUAACGUCUGUUGGCAGGUCUCAGCUGAUAUAAUAUUUUGAGUGGUAACUCCUCUACACAGAGCAAAUGAGUGAAAGAUAGAAAGAGAGUGUAAGGCAGAGAGAGUGUGUGCAAGAGAUUAAGAGAGAGUGUUUGUGAGAGACUGUGGGAAGGUGAGAUAUUGGAGGGGGAUAGAGAGAGGCAUGUGACAGACUGAGAAGGGGAGACAGAGAGAGCUGAGAGAGAGAGAGAGAGAGAGAGAGAGAGAGUGGUCAGACAUGCUGCAUGCCAAUUGGAGGGGGAGGUGUGUGGAGCCCGCCACCAAAGAGAAAGUACAUUGCUGCCUCGCAGGUGGGCCUAGGUGGACCUAGAUAGCAAGCUGGGGCUGCUACAAUGCUACUUCACAAAAAUGAUGUCUUAAAAUUAUAAAAUAAAUCUCACCUG
rnacentral:lncRNA from 1 species